UAUGCUCAUACCUUUGGGAGGUUGUGUAUGUGCCCAACAGACCUGGGAGAUAUGGGUCACUGUCUUCUAAAAGCAAGGACAAAUCUGUUCUUGGAUGGCAAGCACCACCUUUCUGCACCCCGGGGGGUUCCUAUCAUCAGCUCCUGUGCAAAGUCAACCUGCUGGGAAAAACCCAGGUGUCCACAAUAAAAAUACAGUGGAAACGCUUGAAGAACAGUAGUUGCCAAGAAAAGCAGAUAUCAGAAAUACUUGGGGCCAAGGGGUGACACAGAAGUCAAGCAACAACCAGGCAGUGCAACCCCACCAGCUCCUGCACCCGGCCGGGCGCAUGGGGCAGAGCUCCACAGGGAUGACCCUCAUCAGGGACAGGCUAAGGCCAUAUACUGGUGCUGUGCCAGCCAUGACUCUUGCUGCAAGGCAGGACUGGAAAGAUAUCGCGAUGAUCUUGUUUGCUGCCCAGUAAAUUUUCACCCACCUUCUUGGUAAAGAUAGCAGGAGGCUUUGUGCCAGCCACCCCUCCAGAGCAGUUCCUAUUGUCAUGUGAUGAGCCCAAAAUCAAGCAGCCACCAUUCUCCUACGCUUCUUCCCUUUACCAAAGAAAGGUUUGUGGUUGUAAAUGGGGACCUCAAGCUCCAUUUCAGCAUGUGAGGAUAAA